rnacentral:lncRNA from 1 species
GCAGUGGAGAUAACAACCCUACGUCUCGUGCUCCAGAGAGGCUUCAUGUUAUCUGUCAUGGACAUGAGUUACAUGGUAUAGAGAGAGAGCCGGAGCUCGAGGGAAAGAAUGAGCCCGAAGGAGAAGUUCCCCCCUAGCUAUGUGGAGGGGGGUGGCUUAUAUAGAGUGCGCCACCUCCUCACCUCUUAUGUUACAAGAUGGGGCAUUGAUGCCAUAAUGUCAAC